AUGACAGGUCAGCAGGAGUCUGGGACAGGUCUGUGCUGGAGGCUGUCCUCCGUGCACGGGCUGGAGGCGCCUGCGACAGCUCAGCUCAGGUCUUCAAUUCAGUCAGGUGAGGCGCGAGUGAGAGUUGUAUUCUGCGUAGCUGUUUCCGAGGGGAGCAAGGGAAAAGGGUUAGCCGUGUCGUCUUUGGUCAGAAGGGUGAUCAGCACUGCGAAAGACCCCGCGGCCACUGGUCCCUACAGCCAGGCUGUGUUAGUCGACAGGACCAUUGACAUUUCAGGACAGCUAGGCGUGGACCCUGCAAGUGGACAGCUUGUGCCAGGAGGGGUGGCAGAAGAGGCUAAACAAGCUCUUACAAACAUAGGUGAGAUUCUGAAAGCAGCAGGCUGUGACUUCACAAAUGUGGUAAAAGCAACUGUUUUGCUGGCUGACAUAAAUGACUUCAGUACUGUCAAUGAUGUCUACAAACAAUAUUUCCAGAAGAGUUUUCCUGCACGAGCUGCUUACCAGGUUGCUGCUUUGCCCAAAGGAGGCCGUGUUGAGAUCGAAGCAAUAUAGCAUGCAAGGACCUCUCACGACAGCAUCACUCUAA